rnacentral:tmRNA from 1 species
GGGGCUGCAUUGGUUUCGACGUGGGUACGGAAUCGCUGUGGUGCAUGUCGAGCAUGGGCUACGCUCGUAAAUCUUGGUUCAACAAACUAACUGCAAACGACGAACGUUUCGCACUCGCUGCUUAAUAACCAGUGAGCCUUACAACAGCAGGCCGAUGGGCUGGGCAAGGGUGUCAUGACCGCAAGGUCCUGAUGUCCAGGCUGUAAGGUUAUUCACAUCGGCUGGCUCUGUGCCGGGUACCUUGGCAUGGGGCGAGACAAUAGGGUGCUGGCGUCCUGUGUAGCGUGUGGCUGCGCGACACAGGUGGCGAGACUCAAAUCAGACCACUAAACAUGUAGAUCUGCUCGAGGAUGGCUUGCGGACGGGGGUUCAAAUCCCCCCAGCUCCACCA